rnacentral:lncRNA from 1 species
UAUACCGGUAUAUAAUAGUACAUACUUUCUAUCUAUCUAUGGAUAGAUAAGUAUUCAUCCAGGGAAGGCUCAACAAGGAUCCAAUUUAUUUAGCUCUAUAUUCUAUCAUAUGAAUGAAACAUAUUUCUAAAAAAGAUGAAUAAAUAAGUUUGCUUAAGACUUAUUUACAUCUUAAAAAGAUUGUUCAGGACGAUCAAUCACG